GGGGGCGACACGGUUUCGACGGAAGCUGUCGCGACCCGAAGGCAUGCCGGGCGCCACCUGCCCGUAAUCGGGUGGAAACUAGAACUGCCAACUCUGAACUGGCACUUGCUGCUUAAUUAAUUAAGCGCAACGUCUCCUCAAGCUUCGCCUACGGGCUUGAGAUGAGGCGUCACACAGUAGGCUGGCUUCUGCGUUUCGGUCCGUAAUGCAGCGGCGAGAACCAUCGGACUAGCCGGCCGCGUUUCUUGCUCAUUCUAAGCGCGGAGGGCGAACCCAAACGGAAUUGAGCUAAGCAUGUAGGCUUCUGGCCGUAGCGCUUUUCGGACGGGGGUUCGACUCCCCCCGCCUCCACCA
rnacentral:tmRNA from 1 species